AUUGAGAGUUCCAGAGAGGCAGAGAGAGAACGGGGAGGUAGGGUAGGGCUGCCAGCAACCGACGUCUGCGGUGGAGGAGUUACGGCGUAGUUGUGGCGACGCCUCUUCCUUUUUACUCAUUUUACCCUAAACUCAUAAACACACAUUUAGAGAGAGAAAGACAGAAUGAGAGAGAACGACGUGAGAGAGAAACCGAUGAAAGGAAGAGGAAGCCGAUCACCCCAAUCGGAUGACGGUGAUGAUGGCGACGACUCCGACAACCAGAUUGGCAGCGAUGCACUAGGGUUCCAGUUUGGGGUUUUUGAAACCAGAUAGUGAAGGUGUUGAGGACGUCUGCAAUCUGGUUGUCCAGUUUGGAGGUUUUGAAACACACAGCCGGAAUUAACAGUUCAUGACUCGUCCGUAGGUCACCGCCAUCGCAGACCGUUCCACCGUUUCGAGUCCGCUGCUGUAUCCCAAGAUCCAACGAUGGUUUGAGCUCGAUUUCAAAGUCUCUGAUGAUCCGAAGAUCGUGCUUCAGAGUAUAUUGGGGAGAAGAGGAGGGGGCUGGAUGUUUUGAAAGAGGGAUUUGAUGAUGAAGAAAAGCUUUCAAGAACUGUGUUUGUUGGGAAUCUGCCUUUGAAGGUGAAGAAGAAGGCAUUGCUGAAAGAGUUUAGUCAGUUUGGAGAUAUAGAAUCCGUUCGAAUUCGAUCUAUUCCUAAUUAGAUGAUAAAACUCCAAGAAAGGGUGGUGUGAUCAAGAAGAAAAUCAAUGAUGCUGUUUACAGGUGGGUGGAAAUCAUAUUCAUGUAGACAGAGCUUGUCCGCCUCGCAAGAAACUUAAGGGAGAAAACGCUCCCGGAUUACCUUAUGUUGGAGAAGCAAUAAAGCCAGCUGGCAACUGGCUUAUUGGUAGAGAUCCAGAAGUAUAAUAAGGCCCUACCACCAACCCUUCGGGGCUUGCAUCAAAUGUGAUAGGGGCAGUAGCACAGGACCAGAGUUAUUAAGCGAGUACCCGCCGCAUCGCGACGGGUUACUUUUCUAGUUUAUUGAAAAUAUUAAUAUACUGUUGAUCAGUUCUGCAAGUAUGUAAUGGAAAACAUGUAUAAUACCUGUUACAACAUUCAGAUCAACAGAGAAUCUAGAAUGGAAGUAGCCAUGGAGUUCGACAUGUCAGUCAGCUUGAUCUGGUUCCCUUUUAUGUGAAUGAUGGUAAUACUGAAUUCCUUAUGGUUAGAAAUUUGUGAUUAUGGAGAGAAAUGAGGUCGAGAUAUGUGAUGUUAUUAUUCGAGUC